GUGUUCCUGCGGGCUGAGAAGAGCCCUUUGGUCAUGAGGAUGGGGCAGAGGGACCCCGUGUGCAUGGUGUCAUCAGCAAGGAUCUCCUCUUCCCCAGCACGCUGAGAAGGGACAGCUGCAACUGUUAGUUGGCUCUUGGUGUAAUUGAUGGACACUGCCAGUUGCUUAGACAGAUGGGAAUUAACACUGGUGUUCCCAUUAGAACUUGCCAUCACAGUCACGUUGGCUUUGGUCUCCUGCACUGGGUUGAUGUGUGCAAGAGAGUGCAUGUGGAAGGAGCAAGCGUAACUCCUGCCUGCAGUACUCGCCUUCCAGGGUAUUGGAGCCAUCCAUCCAACACAGAGCAGACGAGCUGCUUGCCAGCAGUUUGCAGAACACAUGGCUUUGAGAUGGUGAGGAAAAUGCUUCUUUGCUGGAUGCUGAGAGAUUGCAGUGAGCGGGACUCUCAUCCCUGGAGGCAUCUGUAAGCUGUACUUACAGGCAUUGCAGUGCCUUGUGGCCCAGCUGUCUCCUCUGGACCUCCGGUGACCCGGCACAGCCACCUUGUGACCUGUCAGGUGACAACCAUGAGGCACAGCAGGAGGUGAUGGCUAAGGUAGGAGAUGUUCCAGUCUUACUUACACAUUAAACACAUGGAAAAACAGAUUAACACCUAAGCACACAAACACACGUUAACACUGACUUGAAGCACACAAACAGAUGCAAACACUGUGAUUCCAAAUGUGUUCCGGGACAUCCACCUUUCUUCUCAUGGCUGGAACAGAACAGUGAUCCUGUUUGAGCAGUGUUGGACUGAAGAAAUUAAGGUAAGAGGGAGGGGGUUUAAAAAAAAAUAAAGCAGCUUGUUUCUGUGCACGUGCCUUUGUUACCGCCUUUUGGAUGCUGUGAUUUCCGUUUUACUUUGUGUCUGUUGCCAGUUAUGCAGAGCACUGGUUCACUGUGAACACUUGUCACAAUGUGUGUAAUUUAUUACUGAUGGUGUCCAGUUUGUUUCAGUUAAGAUAUUUGUGGGCGAAGGUUUUGUUCGGAUGUGUGUUCAAGACCACCUGAUUUGAUAGAGACUUCGCGCAGGGUUCAAUCUGCCCACGCUGCACUUGGCCAAGAG
rnacentral:lncRNA from 1 species